CUAAUUCUUCUAUGGAUCGCUUCUAUUUAAAUUCAAGUUAUGAUUUCGACGGAGUAGGAACAAGAAGAACAAAGAGCAUACACAAAUUAUUUAUAUAAGGCAGCGAACAAGAAGAACAAAGAGCACACACAAAUUAUUUAUAUAAGGCAGCGUACAAGAUGAACAAUUUAAGGAAAAUGUGGCAUAUAUGAUAUUAAAUAAUAUUUCUGUAUUCAGAUUCUCUUCUGUAGGUUUCAUUAAAGUGCAUUUCUUGUAUGUUACACAGUAUUAUGAUAGAAUGUAAGAAUAAAUACUGCAAUAAUAAACUGUUUGUUUCUCUGUCAA